rnacentral:rRNA from 1 species
CAAGUCAUGGGGGCCCAGCAAUGGGCAACCGGCGAACGGGUGCGUAACACGUGAGCAACCUGCCGAUCUGUGGGGGAUAGCCGGGCUAACGCCCGGGUAAUACCGCAUACGCUGCCCUGGGGGAUCUCUGGGGCAGGAAACCGCUUGGGCGGAUCGAGGGGCUCGCGGCCUAUCAGCUAGUUGGGGGGGUAACGGCCCACCAAGGCGACGACGGGUAGCUGGUCUGAGAGGAUGGCCAGCCACAUUGGGACUGAGAAACGGCCCAGACUCCUACGGGAGGCAGCAGUGGGGAAUCUUGCGCAAUGGCCGAGAGGCUGACGCAGCGACGCCGCGUGUGGGAGGACGCCUUUCGGGGUGUAAACCAUUGUUGCCCGGGACGAACAUCUGGUUUCGACCAGACUGACGGUACCGGGUGAGGAAGCACCGGCUAACUCCGUGCCAGCAGCCGCGGUAAUACGGAGGGUGCGAGCGUCGUCCGGAAUCAUUGGGCGUAAAGGGCGCGUAGGUGGCUUCUCAAGCGUGCGGUGAAAGCCUGGGGCUCAACCCCGGGUCGGCCGUGCGAACUGGGGGGCUUGAGCACUGUAGAGGCAGGCGGAAUUCCGGGUGUAGCGGUGGAAUGCGUAGAGAUCCGGAAGAACACCGGUGGCGAAGGCGGCCUGCUGGGCAGUUUUGCUGACACUGAGGCGCGACAGCGUGGGGAGCAAACAGGAUUAGAUACCCUGGUAGUCCACGCCGUAAACGAUGGGCACUAGGCGCUUGGGGGAGCGACCCCUCGAGGGCCGGCGCUAACGCAUUAAGUGCCCCGCCUGGGGAGUACGGCCGCAAGGCUGAAACUCAAAGGAAUUGACGGGGGCCCGCACAAGCGGUGGAGCAUGUGGUUUAAUUCGACGCAACGCGAA